rnacentral:rRNA from 1 species
CCUACGGUGAGCAGCAGUGGGGGAUAUUGCACAAUGGGGGGAACCCUGAUGCAGCGACGCCGCGUGGGUGAAGGAGUAUUUCGGUAUGUAAAGCUCUAUCGGCAGGGAAGAAAUUGGACGGUACCUGACUAAGCAGCCCCGGCUAACUACGUGCCAGCAGCCGCGGUAAUACGUAGGGGGCAAGCGUUAUCCGGAUUCACUGGGUGUAAAGGGAUCGUAGACGGCCAUGCAAGCCAGGGGUGAAAGCCCGGGGCCCAACCCCGGGACUGCCCUUGGAACUGCAUGGCUGGAGUGCGGGAGGGGCAGGCGGAAUGCCGGGUGUAGCGGUGAAAUGCGUAGAGAUCAGGAGGAACACCGGCGGCGAAGGCGGCCUGCUGGACCGCGACUGACGUUGAGGCUCGAAAGCGUGGGGAGCGAACAGGAUUAGAUACCCGUGUAGUC